UUCACUUGUUGGAUGUUGCCUUGUGCUCAUUAAUACAGUCCCGCUGGAUUGCUACAUAAAGUCAUUGUCUCUCUACUCUUCAUUUUGCCACAACAUAGCUGAGAGAGUUCUGAGGAGCCCUCUUCAGCUGGACAUGUACUCACUCUUCCUGUUGUCACUCUGUGCCACUGACCUUUUUAUGCAGUCUUAUUUCUGAAGGCUGAUUAUUUUUGGUGUGAACAGCAUCCAGUUGGACAAAUUCACAUGAAUCUGAUCCUCUUCACCGGGCUUUGAUCAAAGAAGCUCAACUGCCAACUGCUCAAGUGGAGCAGCUUGAGUAACAGAGGCGGGCAGUGUUUGGACCUGGCCAGUGUGCACACGUGUGAACGUGAAGGAGUCCGUUGUUGAACAGAGUGUGUGUCUUCAGACUCAGGGAGGUUGAAAACAACAUUUAAAAAAAACGAUGUUAAGACAAAGACACGAGAAAGAAGAAUGUGUGAAAUAUUAAAGAGGAUUUCUGGAGGCAAAUUUGUGGGAACACUCUUUUAAUGGGAACACAAUAAUUGUUGUAACAUGUUAAACAAUCGUAUUUGUAAGUACAUGUUUAUACUGUGGUAACACAUAUAUAUAUAUAUACAGUACAUAUACAGGACUGUCUCAGAAAAUUAGAAUAUUGUGAUAAAGUUCUUUAUUUUCUGUAAUGCAAUUAAAAAAACAAAAAUGUCA